UGAGCCCCAAAAAGCUCUUUAAU
rnacentral:tRNA from 1 species